rnacentral:rRNA from 1 species
GACGAACGCUGGCGGCGUGCUUAACACAUGCAAGUCGAACGGAAAGGCCCUGCUUUUGUGGGUUUCUCGUUUGGCGAACGCGUGUGUAACACGUGUGUAACCUCCCCUUGACUUUCUGAUAACUUCACGAGACUCGGGCUAUUACCCGAUAUGAUCUCCUGCUGCAUGUUGUUCGUUGGUAAGUUUCGGCUGUUGGGGAUGGACUCGCUGCUUAUCAGCUUGUUGGUGGGGUAGUGGCUUACCAAGGCUUUGACGGGUAGCCGGCCUGAGAGGGUGACCGGCCACAUUGGGACUGAGAGACGGCCCAGACUCCUACGGGAGGCAGCAGUGGGGAAUAUUGCACAAUGGGCGGAAGCCUGAUGCAGCAACGCCGCGUGCGGGAUGACGGCCUUCGGGUGGUAAACCGCUUUCGCCUGUGACGAAGCGUGAGUGGCGGUAAUGGGUAAAGAAGCACCGGCUAACUACGUG